rnacentral:lncRNA from 1 species
GUCCUCACCUAACAGUUAUUGGUGCCCAACCCCACCUUUAUCCUACAACAUCUCAUGUCUAUAGAGAGGUCCAGCCCUCCGAUGCAACUUGACCACUGUAUCCAGCCGAGACAAAUCAACAUCAGAAAGACCUUAGCAGCUCUACUAUAGUGGAAGACCUAUUGACUUAAUAUUGGUUAAUCAGGUCUUAGUGUUUGCAACUUGAGCUCUUCAUAAGAGGUAAUCGAACAAUUGGCCAGGUAAGCAGGUGGGAGGCUCCCCUUACUCAG